rnacentral:tRNA from 1 species
GGGCGAUUAGCUCAGUGGUGGAGUGCUCCCUUGACAUGGGAGAGGUCACAGGUUCGAUCCCUGUAUCGCCCA